GGAGAGGUGUCUGAGCUGGUUGAAGGAGCACGCCUGGAAAGCGUGUAUACGUAUAUAAACGUAUCGAGGGUUCGAAUCCCUCCCUCUCCGCCA
rnacentral:tRNA from 3 species